rnacentral:tRNA from 1 species
GCCGGUGUAGCUUAAUAUAAGAGCGUGAUGCUAUAGCGUCUACCUUGAGAGAAUUUUCCGGAAUGAACCUUGAGGAGUGUGGGUUAAAAUCCCACCACCGGCUCCA